GAUGAACGCUGGCGGCGUGCCUAAUACAUGCAAGUCGAGCGAACGGACGAGAAGCUUGCUCUUCUGAUGUUAGCGGCGGACGGGUGAGUAACACGUGGAUAACCUACCUAUAAGACUGGGAUAAUUUCGGGAAACCGGAGCUAAUACCGGAUAAUAUUUUGAACCGCAUGGUUCAAAAGUGAAAGACGGUCUUGCUGUCACUUAUAGAUGGAUCCGCGCUGCAUUAGCUAGUUGGUAAGGUAACGGCUUACCAAGGCAACGAUGCAUAGCCGACCUGAGAGGGUGAUCGGCCACACUGGAACUGAGACACGGUCCAGACUCCUACGGGAGGCAGCAGUAGGGAAUCUUCCGCAAUGGGCGAAAGCCUGACGGAGCAACGCCGCGUGAGUGAUGAAGGUCUUCGGAUCGUAAAACUCUUUUAUUAGGGAAGAACAUAUGUGUAAGUAACUGUGCACAUCUUGACGGUACCUAAUCAGAAAGCCACGGCUAACUACGUG
rnacentral:rRNA from 1 species